AAUAGGCUAGCUCAGUUGAUGGGGCAUGAGACUCUCAAUCUCAGGGUCAUACGUUUGAGCCCCAUGCUGGAGUA